rnacentral:lncRNA from 1 species
UUCGAGUGUCCAUUUCUCGCCUCAACUUGCCUCACUGUUUUUUUUUUAUGUUAAUUCCUCUUGACAGGUCCUUCCUUUUCCUUUGGAAAAACGACUCAUCAGAAACUUAUCCAUGUAUCCAUAUCUCCUCGUUUCCAUUUCACCAGUCCUCUAAACGAGGAUAUCCAGGCGAAAUUCACACGUAGGCAACGGAGAAAAACUGAAAAGGUUUUGUAGGUUUUCUUCUGGUCAGCUGAUCUGUGGGCUGGGGAUGAGAUGAAGGUACGCAAAGAGAGAUUAAAACCUUUCGCCAUGUAUAUCUAGAGAAGCGGUAUCCUCAAUAAAACCUUUUGCGAUAUUCACAUUCCGCGAGUGAUUAAUUUACCAGGUGAUUCUUGAAUUAACUCAGCAAGGAUGAACUCACCAGAUUGUUGGAUUCGAGGAUCAUCGUAUGAGGAUCACGGGGUCUUGUCUGCUAGAAACAAACUGCUUGUAUGCAAACUGCGUUGGCGUGCUUUAACACUUUUCAGAACCUUCGUAAUACAGUUUAGCAUCAUGGGCCUGUGUCCAAGAGUAAAAGAUUCUAAGGCAUUUGGUUCAUAAUGAAUCGAGGUAGGUAGUAGCAUACCUGUCUCUGACUAAGAUUACGUGAUAUCUUCACCUUUAAUUGGUAGUUUCAAAUAUAUUAGGUUGAUAUUUGCUCUUAUUUUUCAAACGUCUCUAGCGUUGGCAUUCCUAUAAGUCUCCAUAGAAGCCGAAAGUGAUGCUUUUAAUGGUUCACGUAUAGGGCUUUGGGUAAUAUGGUAUGCAUGUGCCAAUUAGGUGUGGGACAAGACCAUGGAACUGUGUCAUGGAACUGUCCCAUGGACCCAUACCUACUUCUUUCACUGUCCU